rnacentral:rRNA from 1 species
ACGUAGGGUGCAAGCGUUGUCCGGAAUUACUGGGUGUAAAGGGAGCGCAGGCGGACCGGCAAGUUGGAAGUGAAAACUAUGGGCUCAACUCAUAAAUUGCUUUCAAAACUGCUGGCCUUGAGUAGUGCAGAGGUAGGUGGAAUUCCCGGUGUAGCGGUGGAAUGCGUAGAUAUCGGGAGGAACACCAGUGGCGAAGGCGACCUACUGGGCACCAACUGACGCUGAGGCUCGAAAGCAUGGGUAGCAAACAG